UCACUUCUCUCUCUGUAUCUCUCUCCGUCAUUCUGUUCUUGAUAAUGGCUGAGAAUGUCAAAUUUGAACUUGAAGAUUCACGAAUAAGGUCUUAUGAAGAAGGAUCUGCUACUUGUGAGCUUCGAUUUGAGGAUUCUGAUGGAGAUAACGGAUUCAUUUCGAGCUCUACUAACUUCUUCGAUGGCGAAGAUUCGAAAGGCAGUGAUUUUCCCGUGAAAUUGGAUUACAGGACUUUUGCAGCUGCCGGAUCGAACGCUGCUAAGUAUAAAUUGAUGUCACCUGCCAGACUUCCCAUCUCACGAUCGCCGUGUUUGACGAUCCCUCCUGGCUUGAGCCCGACUACUUUACUCGAUUCCCCUGUUCUUCUUUCCAACAUGAAGGUAGAGCCUUCCCCAACUACUGGUACCUUUUCCAAGCCUCGAAUCAUGCAGCCUGCUGUUGGUACUGCCACAUUCUCUUCUACAGCAGACACUGCCAAUGAAAGAACUUCUAACGACUUUGAGUUUAAACCCCAUGUUAGAUCAAUCUCGGGUUCUGGCUUAUCCUCGUUGGGAACUUUGGCUUCUGCAGCUGAGUCAUUUGUGCAAGUCCAAGGUCAAUGCCAGCCUCAAUUGUGUGUGAAGCCACUUUCAACCGAAAAUGAAAAUGUGACAGCCUCAUCGCAUGAACUGAAACUAUCUGUAAAUGCUCCACAUCCACCGAUUCCCUUGGUUAAUUCCAGGGAGACUGCAUCUUUGCAAAUUGCUUCUGGUGAAUUUCCACAGAAUCAUUCAUCAGAUAGCAGGAUCCAAGCAUUGCAGUCAGAUCAUAAAGACACCAAUCUUUCAAUCAUGGCUACGAAAUUGUCAGAUGAUGGAUAUAACUGGCGAAAAUAUGGGCAGAAACAUGUGAAAGGAAGUGAAUUUCCGCGAAGCUAUUACAAAUGUACGCAUCCUAACUGUCAAGUGAAAAAGCAAUUUGAACGAUCUCAUGAUGGACAGAUUACAGAGAUUAUAUAUAAGGGUAGCCAUGAUCAUCCUAAACCUCAACCUAGCCGCCGGUUGGCAGUUGGUACAAUUUUGUCCAUCCAUGAAGAAAGACUGGAUAGGUUUUCUUCCCUAACAAGCACAGACGACAAAUCAUCCAAUGCACCUGGCCAGACAUCUCAUCAGAUUGAGCCAAAUGGUACACAUGAGCUUUCUCCUGUCACCGCAAGUGACGAUGAUGUAGAGGGUGCAGCUGCACAAUCAAACAGGAUUGAUGAUGAGGUUGAUGAUGAUGAUGAUCCUGAAUCAAAGAGGAGCAGGAAAAAGGACAUUGGUUGUUUGGAUGUUACUCCAAUGGGUAAACCAACUCGAGAACCACGUGUUGUUGUACAAACACUAAGUGAGGUUGAUAUACUGGAUGACGGGUACCGCUGGCGCAAGUAUGGGCAGAAAGUGGUGAAAGGAAAUCCAAAUCCAAGGAGUUACUACAAGUGCACGAAUGCUGGAUGCCCAGUUAGGAAACACGUGGAGAGGGCAUCACAUGAUCCAAAAGCGAUCAUAACCACAUAUGAGGGGAAACAUAACCAUGAUGUACCUGCUGCUAAAAAUAGUAGUCAUGACGCUGCUGGAAUUGCUCUUCACAACUCGGCUUUAAAUAGCACGUUGAGGACUAGGCCAGAAGAAAGUGAUACCAUUAGCCUUGAUCUUGGAGUAGGCUUUAGCUCAAGUCCUGAAAGUAAAUCAAUUGAGAAGCAGCAGACACCUGAUAUUCAGCCUGUUGAAAGUCACAACAUUCCUGGUCCCGGUUGUAGUAGUAUAAUUCAACCAACACCUGUUUCAGCAUAUUAUGGUGCUUUUAGGAGUGGCAUGGAACAAUAUGCACCCAGGGAAGACUGGGUUGAAGGCUUUAGCUUUGAGACUACACCUUUAAAUCAUUCCUCAAACCCAUACCAACAGAACAUCGGAAGAUUAGUAUUGGGUCCGUAAGAUUUUUCCGAAGAAAAUAAAAGCAGCAGGUGUUCUUUGCAGAAGGCAAGUAUCAAUGUAUCACUCAGUCAAGAUCUCAUUGUUCCCCAUCAAAUUAACUGUUGUUGCAUUUAUCAUAUCAACAAAUUACAGCCCAACGGACGAUUAACUUGAGCCGUUGAUGUCUGAUGCUCAAUUACAUGAUGGAAUUCUGUUUCGAGGAAUUUAUGGAAUUUGUGGAUUUAUUUAUGUGCCUGAUCCAUAAGCUCUGCUCAAAAACAUGUAAGGAGCAGUGAUGUGGGUCAACUCAGAAAUUCUUGGUUUUGCCAUUGGUCAAUUUAGUGGUAUUAUGCUUACUAAACCA